UACAAAAGAGGCGAUCUGUAAAAUUAUGGUGUAUUUUUAUGGUGGGCUGUAAUUGUCACUGGAAGCGUUCACAAAGAAGACGUAACUACAUGGACAUAUGCUUAGAAUCAAAUGUUAAGAAGAGCAAAGUAUGCCAUUGAAUUAUCGGCUCGGUGUGAUUUCAACUUCCUACACGCACACGCUGGAGGAUGGAAAGGUAUCAUCCUGAAAUACCAGUGGCCGUUAUAUAGGGGAGGUGUGAUGAAUUACUUUAUUUUCUUUUAAAGUUUUACCAUGUUCAGUUUUUCAUUACUGUACAUUAGUACUUGAGAAAGAAAUACAUUGA
rnacentral:lncRNA from 1 species